rnacentral:rRNA from 1 species
UACGUAGGGUGCGAGCGUUGCCCGGAUUUAUUGGGCGUAAAGGGCGCGUAGGCGGUGAGAUGCGUCCGUUGUGAAAUCGCCCGGCUCAACUGGGCGGGGUCAGCGGAUACGGUGUGGCUCGAGCAAGCUAGGGGGCAAUGGAAUUCCCGGUGUAGUGGUGGAAUGCGUAGAUAUCGGGAGGAACACCAGUGGCGAAGGCGGUUGCCUGGAGCUUUGCUGACGCUGAGGCGCGAAAGCGUGGGGAGCGAUCCGG